UCCGGGAAACUGGAGAUAAUACCUCAUAGUUUACCAUCGCUGGAAUGCCUGGUAAGCGAAAGGUCCGCCGCCUUAGGAUGGGUCUGCGGCCGAUUAGGUAGUUGUUGGGGUAACGGCCCAACAAGCCUGUAAUCGGUACGGGUUGUGGGAGCAAGAGCCCGGAGAUGGAUUCUGAGACACGAAUCCAGGCCCUACGGGGCGCAGCAGGCGCGAAAACUUUACAAUGCAGGCAACUGUGAUAAGGGAACCCCGAGUGCCCGUAUGGACGGGCUGUUCAGGUGCUUAAAAACCACCUGGAGAAAGGGCCGGGCAAGACCGGUGCCAGCCGCCGCGGUAAUACCGGCGGCUCGAGUGGUGGCCACUAUUACUGGGCUUAAAGCGUCCGUAGCUUGGUCGUUAAGCCUCUGGGGAAAUCUUCCGGCUUAACCGGAAGGCGUCUCAGGGGAACUGGCGACCUAGGGAUCGGGAGAGGUGAGAGGUACUCUGGGGGUAGGAGUGAAAUCCUGUAAUCCUCAGGGGACCACCUGUGGCGAAGGCGUCUCACCAGAACGACUCCGACAGUGAGGGACGAAAGCUGGGGGAGCAAACCGGAUUAGAUACCCGGGUAGUCCCAGCCGUAAACGAUGCGCGUUAGGUGUAUCGGUGACCACGAGUUACCGAGGUGCCGAAGGGAAACCGUGAAACGCGCCGCCUGGGAAGUACGGUCGCAAGGCUGAAACUUAAAGGAAUUGGCGGGGGAGCACCACAACGGGUGGAGCC
rnacentral:rRNA from 1 species